rnacentral:lncRNA from 12 species
UAGUGUUUUGCAUAUAAAAUAGAUUUACAAUAGUUAUAAGUAGAAUAGAAUAGAAUUGAAUGGAAUAGAAGAAUAGAAUAGAAUAGAAUAGAAUAGAAUAGAAUAGAAUAGAAUAGAAUAGAAUAGGAGAAUACUAGAAGUGUUAGUAACAACGGUAAGAGAGAAGAAAGCUGAUUCACUAUAAUACUGAAAAUUUAAGAAUUCCAGUUGUUGAGAAGGAUCAAAGAGAUACAUUGAAGAUAAUCACAGAUAACUACAGUCUUAGUCUUCACAUUGGAUUUUGGACAAAUAGUAAACUUUUGAAAAGGUCUACACAGGAGGUGAAUUUGCCAUAUUAAGAGUUGAUGCAUAAAAAAUUAUCUUGACAACUGUCAAAGUCAGAAGCUAUACAAACAAGGAGUUUUUAGUUAAGGUGUUUCUGUGUUGGAUCCCAGAGAAUAUUAUGAAGUAUAAAGGCUUCUACUCCAAAUAUGCAAAAAAGUACUCCCUAAAUAGUUGAUGGUAAGUUCACUGUUACUUCACUCUAUUUUUUUUAAGGUAAAGAAAAUAGUAUAUAAUUUAUUUGGCUA